UAGAGAGAGACUUAAAAAAAUACUUUUACAUAGAAAUACACUUACAUAUAAAUAAAAUUUCUAUAUUUAGGAAACCGGAGCUGCCCAGGCCCAGCUGCCCCUUUUCCCCCCAUCCCCUAAAUAUCCAAAACUGCCCUUCUUGCCCUCGCUCCUCCCGGGAACAUCGCCAGGAUCAUCGGCUGCAUUUAAAGUCCAGCGCCGGGCAGAUCCCUCCUGGUGAGAGCAGGAAUUCCAUGGGCGAAGGAGCCCAUUGUUCCCGGAGAAUGGCACCGGGAAUGGGGAACAACGCUCCGCUCCCAUCCCCUGUCCCCGCGGAUUUAAGAGCGCAGGGAUCCGUCAGAGCAUCCCAAACCGCGGGACCGCGGCCCGGCGGCUUUAAGAGCCCUGGAAUGCGAUGGGAAGCGGGAGCUGCUGCCAGCUGGCACGGCCCGGAGCGCCGGAUCAAUGCCGGGAUUGUUCGGGACCACGGGAACGAGAAAGGAGAGGAACUGAGAGGGAAAACCAGCUGGAGCCUAUUCGUUGGAUGCUCCAAUCCCAAUCCUGGAAAACUGCGCUCUGCCCUUUGGAGCCAGAUCAAUCCUUUCCCCGAGCCCGGAAUUCCUGCCUCCAGCAGCAUUCCAAGCCUGGGAUCCAGCACUCCAAACACAACACAUGCAACCACUUAGGAGCCAAUUAAUCCCAGCGGAAGCGCCCUUGUCGUUACAUUUCCGGAAUAAUGCCGGAAAAUUCCCGUUGCGUGUCAUCGGGAACCAUUUAGGGACGUUUGGAUCCCAGGUUUUGCUGUCAGAGCUUUAAGGAAUGAGCAGAUGACGGAUUCCUGGAAUGAGGCUCUGCUUGGAAGACGAGGCCCCGUUGUUUUCCUGCUGUUCCACCCGGAUAAUUUGGGAUGUUCCAAAAUAAUUAGGGCGGGUGAUUAAUCCCUUACAAGCUCUCCGACAUGGAAGAGAUCCCAGACCGUCUUAUGGAUGCGGGGCAACACUUUUAGAUCCCAAGAAAUUAUCAUUAUAUUCCAAAAAAUCCAUUCUGCCCCUCAGUGUGUCCCCAAAAUGACAUCGUGGCGCCCUAAAAAAUCAUUUCAUCCCCAAAGGAACUUUAUGCUCUGAAAGUCCUAAAAUGCAUCAUUACGCUAAAAAAAUUAUUAGACCCUCAAAAAAAAUCAUUGCUACACUCCAAAAUAUUGGCAUUGCACCCUAAAAAGUAUCGUUGUACCCUAAAGAACAUAAUUAUACCCUAAACCCCAUAAUUUCACCCUAAAAAAUCAUCAUCACAACCUAAAGUCAUACUUAUACCCCAAAAAAAUCACUGCACCCUAAAGAACAUCAUAGUACCCUAAAUCCCAUCAUUACACCCUAAAAAGCAUUAUUAUACCCCCAAAAACCACCAUUACAUCCCAAAAAAUAUCAUUAUAUCCCUAAAAAAAUCAUUAUGUCACAAAAAAAUCAUUAUAUCCCCAAACAAUCAUUAUAUCCCAAAAAGCACCAUUAUACUCUCAAAAGCAUAAUUAUAUCUUAACAUCCCAGCUUCAUACAAUUAAAAAUCACCAUUAAAUCCCAAAAACCACUAUUGUACCCCAAACACUGAAAUCUGGGGUGGAAAGAAAAAAAAAAUUGGAAAGAAUUUUAAAAAAUUGGAAAGAAAUAAAAAAAAUUGGAAAGAAAUAAAAAAAAUUGGA
rnacentral:lncRNA from 1 species